AGAAGUUUGUCAACUCUCAAAUGUAUAAAGAACAGGCUGACGAGGACUUCAUAUCGGACCAGAUUUUUGGGAACACAUUCCCAGACCGUAUCAAGACUUUCUAUGCAGACAGCCUCUUGGGACUUGGGCAGUUUCAGUUGGAUUUCAAAUAUCGUGGGCGAGAGAGGCUUUUCAAGGCCUAUGGAGACAGUUUGGGCGGCGGGCAAGGGAGUAACACCGGUGUAUCUCAGGUCUCUUUCUUUGCAAGACGGCCAGCGCGUCAUGAGUCAGUCACUCGACAAAGAGGCUAUUUCAGUUCACCACCAGUCUGCCCGGCCGGCCUCCAGAAAGCACAGAAGACUCCUUCGGCGUUUAAAAAGAGCGGGCUUUUUUUUUCUUCUUCAAAAGAGUGAAGGGAAGAGGAGUAUGCCGGGCUUUCCGCUCAGGAGCAACAGAAGGGCGCGCUCCCCCUGCCUCCCUGAAAAAGGGGUGGACGUGGACCAGCCCCUAAAGCAAAGUCGGAGCCGUGUUUGUUUUUGCGAGGUGUGCAGCAGACGGAGAGCACGUUUUGCCGCAGGGGGAUUACUUUGGCAUGCCUUAUGGUUGCGGAGGGACACACACAACUCGCUAACCUAGACACUCACGAGUCCGGGGGGGGGGGGGACAAAGGAAGGGCCAGAAGAAGUCCUGAGCUAACGCCUCCGGGGUCUGCGGCUGGGGAGGGACUGCGUAGGAGGACGGGUGGGGAAGGCAGAGGCUAAUUACCUGGCAGAGGCCGGAUGGUCUUCUUUCCGCUAACUCUGUUCAGGCAGCGACUGGAAAGAGAAACAGAAAGUGAGAGAAACAGGAGACUUUGUUGCUCUCCAGCCCGAGAAGCGGGAUGCUUCUAGCUGCCAGUGACCCGAGAGGCAACAGCCCGGUUUGAGUCGGACAGAUCUGCCCCUGGUGGCCGGAGGCUGUGGCGACUACUAGUUUCCAUCGCCAAGAAGGGAGAUUUCCCCACUCCGUCCUGCUGGGAUUUCCCUCCACGUCUCCGUCUCCGUCGCCUUCUGGCUGGCUGCUAGCAAAGUUUGAGCCAGCGCCUCAUGUCAGUGUCUGGGCUCAGCUCUGUCUGGAGGAUCAUACGAAGUAAUAAAGGAGCGAGUGCUACAGAGCAUAUGCAAAGAGUGCCUUUUCCUCCUCGGCUAUUGAGGAAUUACAGUCAGCCCCCACACAUCUGUGAAUGACACACAGACUUCCGGAUCAAAAGAUUACGCCUCGGGCGAGCAUAAGACUUCUUGUUUUCUAUCCUCGCACUGCUUUGGAAACCAGGCAUUUUACGUUGUUGCGAGUCCUGCCCUUUAAACAGAUAGUUAUAGAUCUAUCUCGACUCAAGUGAGGCUAUUGGUUUAUAAAACAGUGCAUUUUUAAAGAACGAUUCCGCAUCAAGUGGCAAGCUGCAAUCAAGUGAUCCUCUGGACCCUCACUUCUUUAAUAUGUCACAAACACAGUGCAGCUGUGAGUUCUCCUGCUCUACUUCUCCCCCAAUUCCUUUGUCUGCUUAGCCAUGGGGCAAAAUAAAUCCAUGCUUUAAAAGGUAAA